UACGUAGGGUGCAAGCGUUAACCGGAAUUACUGGGCGUAAAGGGUGCGUAGGCGGUUGUUUAAGUCUGUCGUGAAAUCCCCGGGCUCAACCUGGGAAUGGCGAUGGAUACUGGGCAGCUAGAGUGUGUCAGAGGAUGGUGGAAUUCCCGGUGUAGCGGUGAAAUGCGUAGAGAUCGGGAGGAACAUCAGUGGCGAAGGCGGCCAUCUGGGACAACACUGACGCUGAAGCACGAAAGCGUGGGGAGCAAACAGG
rnacentral:rRNA from 1 species